rnacentral:rRNA from 1 species
AUUGAACGCUGGCGGCAUGCUUUACACAUGCAAGUCGAACGGUAACAGGCCGCAAGGUGCUGACGAGUGGCGGACGGGUGGGUAAUGCAUCGGAACGUGCCCAGUCGUGGGGGAUAACUACUCGUAAGAGUAGCUAAUACCGCAUACGUUAUAUGGGUGAAAGCGGGGGACCGUAAGGACUCGCGCGAUUGGAUCGCUCGAUGUUAGAUUAGCUAGUUGGUGGGGUAAAGGCUCACCAAGCCAACGAUCUGUAGCUGGUCUGAGAGGACGACCAGCCACACUGGGACUGAGACACGGCGCAGACUCCUACGGGAGGCAGCAGUGGGGAAUUUUGGACAUUGGGCGCAAGCUUGAUCCAGCAAUGCCACGUGCAGGAAGAGGGCUUUCGGGUGGUAAACUGCUUUUGUACGGAACGAAACGGCUCUGGUUAAUACCCGGGGCUAAUGACGGUACCGUAAGAAUAAGCAACGGCUAACUACGUG